rnacentral:tRNA from 1 species
GGUGGCUCAGUGGUAGAGCGCUUGCCUUGCAUGCAUGCAUAAGGCCCUGGGUUCAAUUCCUCGGCACCA